UCCAGGUCCCGGAGGGCGCGAGCCCGCUAACCCGGUCAGGACCCCGCAGGUAGCAGCCGCGUGUGGUGUCUCACGUAGCUCCGUCAGACCUGGAGUA
rnacentral:SRP_RNA from 1 species